rnacentral:rRNA from 1 species
GACGUAGGGUGCGAGCGUUGUCCGGAAUUAUUGGGCGUAAAGAGCUUGUAGGCGGUCUGUCGCGCCUGCUGUGAAAAUCCGGGGCUCAACCCCGGACUUGCAGUGGGUACGGGGCAGACUAGAGUGUGGUAGGGGGAGACUGGAAUUCCUGGUGUAGCGGUGAAAUGCGCAGAUAUCAGGAGGAACACCGAUGGCGAAGGCAGGUCUCUGGGCCAUAACUGACGCUGAGAAGCGAAAAGCAUGGGGAGCGAACAGG